UACGAGGGGGGCAAAUGUUGUUCGGAAUCACUGGGCGUAAAGCGCGCGUAGGCGGUCUGUUAAGUGGGAUGUGAAAUCCCCGGGCUUAACCUGGGAAUUGCAUUUCAAACUGGCCGACUAGAGUACGGUAGAGGGAGGUAGAAUUUCCUGUGUAGCGGUGAAAUGCGUAGAUAUAGGAAGGAAUACCAGUGGCGAAGGCGGCCUCCUGGAUCGAUACUGACGCUGAGGCGCGAAAGCGUGGGGAGCAAACAGG
rnacentral:rRNA from 1 species